UAUAGUUCCUGUAUUCAUUUAUUCCAUUACUAUAGAAUACUAUUGCGUUCUUUUUAAUUAAAUUAUAGAAUUUCAAACUAUAGAUUAUGCACGAUGAGUCUUACAAUCUAUUUGAGCGUAUAGUGUAGAGAAAAUUUUCCUGGUCACCCAUUCAUUUGGUUAAGAAGGAUUUGCUAACUUUCACUUGGAGUCGAUGAAAAGAUAACACCAUACGACAUUAACGCUGCAAAUGUGGUUAAGUUUCAUUAAAAACUGAUUCGAGCAUUAACACGCUAAUGGAGUAUAAUUAGAACAGCCUGUGAAACGAUUAUUUCCGAGUAAAGUCGUUUCUUUUCAGCUGUACAUACAAACAUGCAAGAACACUUUACGACGACGAUGUGCUAUUGUGUUUUUUGGCGUAUGGAGUUCCUCGUCAAGAGGAUAACAUUUUUAAUCUUGAACGAGCUGCGAGAAAAAAAAUAUUCUUUAUUGGAGAAAUUACGCAGGAAAGCAUUUGAAAUGAGAAAAUCUUUCAUUUGAAAUUUACAACAAAAUUAAUUUUAGUACCAGAAUGCACAAUUAGUGUUCCGAAAUUUUUAGAAUUCGACUGUCUUUAAACUUUCUGUCUGUUUUAAAUAUUUUUUAUAAUCGAAUAUUCUAUAAUUUUAAAAAUCUUCCUUUUACAAUACGAUUGAAAGCGUAAUGCGAUGAAAGAAACCAUCUUCGCGUUAAAUAAGAUCCACGCAAGAGUAACGAGAGACGGUUUCUGAGUCGAUAAAUUGGAAUGAUCGUUGACACAGUAAUCGAUGGUACACUCGAUAAUAAUUUCUUGAAGGCCGGCUCGAGAGGUUUGUCUUGCUGAAAGAAAUGAUAUAGAAUGGGGAAAAAAAUAACGGAUUAUUAUCUUUCAAGUAGCAUUUUAGACGGUCGUGCUUGGUUGACAGUUUCUAUUUCCAUGACCAUAUAAUCAGUCACGUUAGCUUGAAACGAUGGCGAUGAAUUACAGAUACGAUAAAUACACGUCCAUUAGAGAAUACACACAAUAUUCUCGUGCUUUUUAUUACUCGAUUAUACGUAUACAUGAACGGCAUCUUUGUGUCUUCCCAUGGGAAUAUUUUGUUAGCUCGAGUACGCUCUUUAUAAAAAGUUCAUAGAUUCCGAGUUUAAAAAAAAUUUUAUUUUUUAAUCAAUUGCAAUUAGGAAUAAGGAUACAGCAAUUCAAAUCUAAAAUAAAGAAAAAAGUAUCUAUUCCAACAAAUAUAAGUAUGUAUAAAACUAUAAAUAUAAUAAUUUUCUUACGGAAAAUUAUCUUCUUAUGCAACUUAUCUCCAACUUAUCUCUAACUUAUGAUCCGUAUUCAGAUAAAGGUAGAGAACGCUAAUCAAACUAUGUAGAAUUAAUUUGCCAUGGAUAAACACACGACACACCCUUUGAUUUAUAGAGCAUAGCACAGCUUCGUCUUGAAGUAUAAGCACUGCGCUUAAGGACCGCCAUUCAUUAUUCUUGAAAUCCAUCAGUGUCUAGGAGUGCCGCGCGAUGUAAUACUUAACUAGUAAACUUUCCAUUGACUUAAAAUUGCACUACAUCUAUGAAUGCGCGACAGAACUGUCUUAUCGAUAUCACGUUGAAAUAUACUCCCUGUCUCACAAGUUUCCGUAUAACUUUUAUUAUUGUUAUUAGAUAGAGCUUAUCGUAAUUCAUUCUAAUGAUAAACGCUACUAACUAAUAAAUCCGACUCUAUAAAUUCGUUUACAGACUUUACAGCAUAAGAGAGUGGCGUAAUCAAUAAUAUUUAGGUUCAAAAACUGAAAAAAUUUAAGGAAUAGCGUCUUAAACCGAAUUUCUUAUUUUUAACAUAGAAUCUCUGAAAUUCCAGGAAAUUUACUGCGCGUGAGAGUAAAUGCACAACAGGUUGUUGUUCAAAGGAAGCUCGAUGUGUGCGCAAACGGUAAGUGUACAAGUUUAGCGAAGUAUUCUUUCUGGUGAGAUGGCGAGAAAAAUGAGAAAAGCUGAUUACCUCAUUUUCUUCAACGCACCGAAAUAAAACGGAACAUUAAUGCGGUCAGGCUGAAAUAAGAAGCGGCAGCUUCAUAUGUGCUCCUUAUAGCAUCUCAAAGAGGGAUACUCGAAGAGCUUUAAUAAGUGGAGCACAACGGGUGCUGCUUUUGGGUCCUGCAUACACUGUAGCAUAUUAUUCUGUGACGGGAUGUCAGUACUUGACUACCACACCGUGUAACAUGGCAUAACAGCAUGCAUUAAUGCGACAAUGUAAUCAUUUGCAUAGCAUCGCGGUGUCGUCAGUAAAACUAACUUUAAAGCUUAAACGCGGUAUAAUUAGGAAAUUUUGAAAUUAGGAAGCGCAUCUGUAUCAGCAGAGGCUUGUAUACAUGCUACUUUGUAUAUUUUUAAAAAGAAUAGUACAAGUAAUAAUAGAAAAUCAAUUUAUCAUACAUCUUCAAAUUUUAUAAAAAUCUACUUCAUCUCUAUUUUAUCAAGAUGAAAAGAUAUUUUUGUAUAAAUCAAACUUUUAAUACGCUAGAUAUUUUGUAAUAUUCUACAUUCAGUAUUCAAUCCUUUUCCAUAAUUUUAACACUAAAUUAUAUAAUGUGAACGACCGAAUACUGCAAACUCAUUCAAAUACAUCUGAGAAUUGUCGUAUUCGCCCCGCAUUUUAUGCAGCCUCUUUUGAAUUUCCGAUUCGAAAAGUUCGCGUCAACGUGAACGAUAUUCAAGAUAUUAAACUGUGGGAAAAGAACGGAAAAUUUUUCAACGACCUAAAAGCUGCUCGAGUUCUAAGAAAUAUUUUGAGACGUUGAAAAUAUUACAUAUUUUCGUGUUCACAAAGCAUUCCGUGUCAAACUCGACGGUAUCUUUAUGUAUUUUCAUAUCUCUUUUCUUCAAUACCUUAAAAAUUGUCUUAUUCUUUUUAGAUAAAAUACUAUUAAAACUAUUAAAAACGUACCAAAAAGGUGUAUAAAAGUGCAUAAAAAUAUUUGACUAGGUCCAAAAUGUAAAGUUGGAGUUUCUAUCAAAGUUCACCCUUUAGUCUACAAAACGUAUGCAAAUAGUUAAUUAUAUAGCAACGUGUUUUGCUGACCGGUAACCAACCAGAAUUCGAUCAAUAAGUAGAAUAAAACUAAUUGCCAUUCUUUUCUAAUACUAAAAUGUGAAUGAAAAUCAAUACGAAAUUAAUCCUGUUCUGAAUUCGCAAAAUUAAAAUUUAUACACGAUAUCUACGAUGUCAAGCAAUUUUAAUAAUUCACAGCAGUAUUUUGUAAAAUUUAAGGAAGUUUUAAAUAACGUGAUUCGAACGUAUACAUUAUAAAUAUAUAUUACUUCGAACUGUUGAAUUUUUAAUUCUCUUUUUAUUUCAAUGGAAUAGUUCCAAAGACUAUUCAUUUACCAAUGAAUAUUCUCAGUCACUAAUGACUCCUUAUAUCGAUCGUAUCAAUUACUCACCCCACAAGGAGGUGCAUGACUUUUGUUUCACCAAUUUAGGCCAAAUUUCACGUAUAAUCAAUUUAACACGAUAUUCAAAUAAUUUAAUAAUUUAUUAUCCAAAAUUAUACUGUUCAAACAUAUGCAGUGCGGUAUAUUAUUCAAAUAUUUUGAAUUAAAAUACCCAUACCUUUUGAUUUAACAUUCUAAUGCCUAAAUCUUUAACAUCUGCAAAAAUACAGAUCAUUAUUAUAAUACAAUAUCUCUUAUAAUUUUUUCUAUAAAAACAAACUAAUCUUUAUUAUUGAUAUAAAAUUCCAAUCAGUUCAACGCAGCAUAAGUUCUCGUUACUUUUUGCCAAACAACAGCGGAAGAACAGUAAUCAACGAAGCAUGCAAAUGAAAUAGAUUUUCCGGUGAUUCGUCCAUCAUUGUCGCCGAAGCAGCAUACAACGAGCUCUAUGAAAGGAAAAAUCAGGUUUAUUCAGUACGACAAUCGCUGCACGAUUUAUCCAGCACAUGCUCGUGUUAUCGUGGCUGUACAAAAGCAACGGUGUACGUUGCUGAACUACUGAACCCCUAUUUUAAGCACCGCAGCUGUCACACGAAAUACGGUAAGAGAGAGGGUAUGCGUUUACGCACAAGGGCAAGACUGCAGCCCGUGGAUAAUCUGCUUUUACUAACAGCAUAUUACUAAGUUGAGGAUAUACCGGAUCUGUUCGAGAGACGCUUUCCUUGCUCCCUAAAAAUAUGCGCGCUCUCCACAAGGGUUGAAGUUUUCACUGAAAGUGAACUCGACCUCGGGUGGAUCACUUUUCCUGUAUCACUGCCGUGUUAGAUAUCUAAACAGGAGUUAAACACAAACGUUUUUAUUACAGACUUCGAAAUUGAAGGAUUUCGAUUGCAGACAUCUUAUAACUUCUAGGUAUAUUUUCAAAUUGAUUUCAGAUUUUAUCAUAACAUUCGUACCUCGUUACGAUGCUAAUGAAAUGUCAAGUGUUGUAUAACACAAAUAUCCACGACUACACUGCGGAUUUGUUUGAAUGUAUGAAAAAUUGUAAUGUGCAAAAAUAUACGAAAUAUACGUAACAAUGACAAAUAUAUAAAAAUCCAGCUUUCAUAUUUUCAUUUAAUUGCUUCACUUCUAUCGUCAACUAAUCUGUUCACCACAUUUUCCAUUAUAAACCAACAAGCAUCUAUACAAACAUCCCUACACACACUUCCUAAAAGAAGAAAAAGGGAAAGAAUGAAGAGAAAUUCCAACAGCGUGGCUUCUCCUUGUCGGAUCAGCUUCGAUCGAGACGAAGAUGGAAGUUCAGCACUGCACAAAGAAGGCAAGCACGAGGUUGACCACCUGCAAACUGCAGAGAGAGGGAGAGAGUGGCAUGCACCCCAGCGGGCGGAAGCUAUAGCUGGCACUGCGUGUUGUAAGACGCAAUGCGCAACAUUUUGCGGAGGCCUUCGUCGCUUAUCGGUCAGGAUAUCUCGCGUGAACCAGCCCGAAUCAAAGUGAAAUCCGUAUUGUCACUCAAAUCGGACAAACUGUGCGCGCCAUACUUUUUCAUUUUCCAGAGCGAAUCCAUGCUUCAGUUUACGAACCCAGUUGAGGAAGACUUGUAAGUUUCUAUCAUUGAUCCUGGCUUUCUUUCUCUCUUUCCUUCUGGAGUGGUUCUUCUUGAAGUAGAAAAUUAGUGAUCGAUAAAAGUGAGAUUAAAAUUUGUGGAACACUUUCUUUCAUUUAAAUAGGUGGUUCGAAUACUUUUAACAUAUUGAUAUUUCUUUUGAAAAAUAGAUAAAAUAUGAAUAGCUUGGAAAAAUGUAUUACAUACGGUGUAAUAAAAAAUUCAUACUGAAUUUUGUUUUUGGAAUUUUAAAAGUCUUUUUAGAAGGGCUAAGAAUAAUUUUAUCCAAAAAUUUCCUGUACUAAAACAUCGCAAUUUAUCCACCUGUGAUAUACACACUUGCGAUAAAUAGUCAUAAAGUUUCAAAAACACCCAUAAAGCCAACUGACAAUAGUUUGCGGCGCAUGUAUAUCAUAAGUUUCUCGAUGUUCACAGUUUUUAAUAUUCGCAUUAGGAUAUAUCUCGACUAUAAAGUCUGUCGACGUAUUUGGCAGAACAAAGGAGUUUCAACAACUUCCGAUUCGAAAUAGUUCCAGGUUUGUCCCGUAAAGCAAAUUUUCCAUGCAACAGAGUAACAUAAAUAAUUUCCAUCCAAAAAUGAGAACAUAUUCCAGUCUCGUACAAAACAUGGCAAUUGAUCCAGAUUGUCAGCGAAGAGAUUAAUCGAUCGGAACCCUGUGUUCAUGCAGGAUUUAAUUACAAUCUACAAUUUCAAAUAAGGUAAUAAUUCUUAAAAAGAUGGGGAUGUAAGGCCGCGUUCACGACAUCUUUCUGGGUAAACGCACGCUCUUUGGAACGAUUCGAUAAAUCGGAACGAGGAUAGGCAGACGGGCGGCAGAAUGCGGCAUUGGCGAAAAAUCGCGUCGAAAAAUUGGCAAAGCAGGGCGACUUGUCUGUGCAUUUCGGUCGAAAGUAAUCGUCCAACUAUCAUGCAUUCGUUUUUUCUUCCCCUGGCAUCGAAUCGAUAUCGUACCAUCCGCGCGCGAUCGAAAACCUUCCUACUGGCUUAUCGUAAAAACACCCAUUCAAUCGUUAGUUAUCAAAGUUAAAUUCAAUUUAGAAUUCACAAUUUUGUCCCAUUUUGAUAAGAACAGAGAAAUCGACAGAAUUAGGAUAAAUAAGUUAAGGAAAACGACGAUUCGAAACGGAGAGUUCGUGCACCACGUUUUUUUAUGAAACGAUAACUUAAAUUAUUUUCAUCCACAAUUUGAACUAUUUUUAUUCAUAUACUUGUAAAGCUGCGAGUAAAUCGAAUAGAUUUAGAACAAUUUAGAACAAAUAGAAAAAGAAUUUAAAAUAGAGAUUAUUUGUUAAAAUAAGAGAUAGCAAUUUACUGCACUUUUGCGUUUGAGAUUAUUUCAAUUUCGAAUAUUUUAUGAAAAAGUAUUGCGCUAAGAGAAAAUUUUGAUAACAAUGACAAGCGAAUAAAGCGUGAAACACAAGAAUGUAUUUUAAGAACUUCAUAUGUUUUCUUCCAUCCGUCUUCACCCAAUAAUAAUGCCAUACUGGUCCUCAUAAGUGCACACAGGUGUGAACAUGAGGUAAGUACGCUUUAGUUUCGACAAUAAUAGUCUCUACCCUGUUUAUGAUUCAUUAGAAGUAAAAAGAGCAAUGUACUCGAUGGAAGUGGUACUUUAUCCUUUCGAGAAACAACUGAAGCAAGAACUGGAGUCAUUCGAAUUAAAGUGAUUUAUAGAUCUGAUCGUAUACAUCAUAACAGUAACGCAGAAUCAUUCCAAUGAACUGAAGUCUACAGAUCAAACAAUUGUUCUAAUACGUUUGGACUUUGUACAAACUUAUAUGUAUUAUAAAUAAAAAUAUAAAGAAAUAUGCAAAAACCUUUGAAAAGAUCUGAUAUAUUCAACAUAACAUGUUCAACCAUGUGCCCCAUGAAGAUUAUUAUUAAACGCUUUCAAAAUGCGUGUUACCACACCAUGAAACCAGUGCACCUUUCGCAACACUCAACGCUUCCCACCGAAACAAGCAUGUUCAAGGUUCGUUAUGCCAGGGUUAUUUAAAUCACCGCUGCUCUCACCGUAUUGUUUACGCUCAAUAGAGAACGCAGGACGUGCUUAACCUAACCCAAUGCUAGCUUUUUCUUUUCUACCGUCGACGAAAGGAGAUCCCCAGAGGGAAUCGUGGGGACAUCGGAACAGGAACGUACGAAAGAACGAAACCAACGGUGCAUCGACCCUCGAACACGUGGCAUCGUCGUCGAAUUCGAGCGUGUGUUUCUCCUAGGACCAUAUGCGCUUGGCUUCCUGGCCGCACUUCGCUUACAAGUGCACUUCAUCGUCGGCUAAAGCCGACGACGGGUGGUUAUUUCAAGGCGAACCCCUGAAAAAAAAGAGAAAGUUCCCUCCCUUCGCCCUUUGUCUAACGCCGCUGACUCAGCCAGCCACUAUGCUAGACUGCCAAUACCAGCACACAGAAAUUGCUGAAUUUCUUCUGUUUAACCUGGAGAAGCUUGUGCCGACUCGAAAUCCUCGUUGGUUCGCUAUUACGAGCAUAACGUGAAGCUCGAUCCCUCGUGGACAUACUGUGACCUUUAUCUUAUACCUAUACUUAUAUAAUGACUUGAAUGUGUUAAUUGUUGGUAUAUAUAGCUCAUUAUGGCCAGGUUUGGGUUUAUUAAGGGUAGAAAGCUUGGUUCUUGGAUUUGCGUAUCGUAAAAGAGUGAAUGGUAGCUUUAAGGAUCCUUAAUUAUGAUUUGAAGAAAGUUUUGAUGGUUGAUUGUUUUGCGAGAGAAUUCUAUUUUUUUGAAAUUCAUUCUCAAUUCUUUCGGUCUGCAUUUGAUAGCAAUAGACUGCAUAACUCCUAUAAAAGCAGCCCCAAAACUUUUGCCAUUUGCUCCUACCCUGAACUCACGGUUUCUAGCUAAAACAGCUAUUAAAAUCGACCCGGAACUUUCGAAUUAAAUACACUCACGUAACACGUCAAAAGCAGAGAAUCUACUGGAUAUCAGUCGGCAUAGUACAUCGAUAAGAAAGGUAGUAUAGUGGAUCGAUUUUCAGUGAACGUAUUCCAAGAAAUUGGUCGAGUUCAACAGCCACGAAGGGAACUCCAAGAUUACAAGUAGGCGACAAAUUAAGUGAAUAAAUAAAGAGAAAUUAAAUUAAGUAAAUCAAGGGGGAUUAAGUCGCAAUCUUUCACUGGUCAUAUACAAUUGAUAGUUGAAAAAAGGUUCAACCCACGACGGAUCAAUAUGAUUUAAUUAAUUAAUAUCAGUAUUAUCGAAUUUACUGAAUUAAUAUUUUAACAUUAUAUAUUUUUAAUUUUUAAACAAAUAAUUAAAGACUAGUUCACCCAUUCCCAGUUCAACAAAUCUAACGCAAAUUUACCGCUAUCAAAUAAACGAAAUAUCGAGCACACGCGAGCAUAAAAUUUCAUUAUUACAUGGAAUGAUUGUACGUCUCGUAUGGGUUGCGUCAUUAAAAAUCUAAAUUCGCUAAAUCGCAAAACGUCACCGGAUGAAAUAUCGGAGCGGCGCGACGUAUCGCUCGUCUGCAUCGGGGUUAAUGUCACUAACAUGCUAUUUUAUUUACGUUCCGGUCGCGACACUCACUGAACAGUACAGCGUCAUCCAACGUGCACCUAUCCUAAAGGAGGAUGCGUGGCAGUUUCCGCGGUUACGAUUUCAUUCGGCUUUGGAGCGCAGGCGGUGGCUUCUGAAUUCCAGUCUCGACCGUGAACCUCGUUCAUUUCGGUCGGCUGCACUGGCAGAUAGCCAAAUAUCUCUUCUUCCCUCCUGGUAACGUGUCUAAACGGCUACUGCGAGACGGAGUACAGUCCGACUCUGUAUUCUCCAAUGCAAUCGCGUUCAAGUACAUUACACCGGAGGUCCAAUGCCAAUCCGAGUCGGCGCUGCUUGUCGUAGCGUCAAACCAGUUUGUCGCCGAUAGACGCGGCCUUCUGAUGUAAACGUCAAAGAAAAAUCAGCGGGCUACGCUACCAGUUACGUCAUAUCAUUCUCAGGAAACAGAAUUUCUCUAUUUUUGAAAGAUUCUUGAUUGAGAAUGAGUGACUGGAAAUGAUAACUAUGAGAUGUUAUAAUAAGUAAGUUAUUCUGAAUGUUCUGAAUGUAACUUUGAGUGAUUUAUUUUGAUUCUAUAUUUAUAAUCUUAUUCGAAAGUUUCCAUAAACGAAUGAUGAAGCUUCGGUUAUUUGAUGGAAAUUUUACUUACUAACCGAUUAAAUUAACUCAUGCUGAUUGAAUUCACUUAUCUGGACGUGAACUCUUAUCAGAUCCACGAAAAAUUUGUUGUUGCGUAGAGAAUCAGUGAUCUAUCUCCUAUUAUGUGAACUCUAGUUAUAUAAAUCGCUGGUUUUCCGAAAGAUGUAUAUAAAUAAAAUUUUACUCCAUAUAGCAAAAA